GAUGAACGCUGGCGGCGUGCCUAAUACAUGCAAGUCGAGCGAACAGACGAGGAGCUUUCUCCUCUGCCGUUAGCGGCGGACGGGUGAGUAACACGUGGAUAACCUACCUAUAAGACUGGGAUAACUUCGUGAAACCGGAUCUACUACCGGAUAAUAUAUUGAACCGCAUGGAGCAGUAGUGAUAGGCAGUUUUGCUGUCACUUAUAGCUGGUUCCGCGCCGGAUUAUCUAGGUGGUAAGGUAACGGCUUAGCAACGCAACGAUGCGUUGCCGACCUGAGAGGGUGGUCCACCACACUGGAACUGAGAAACCGUCCAGACUCCUAAGGGGGGCAGCAGGAGGGAAAUUUCCGCAAUGGGCGGAAGCCUGACGGAGCCACGCCGCGGGAGUGAUGAAAGUCUUCGGAUUGGAAAACUCUGUUUGUAGGGAAAAACAAGUAUGUAAGUAACUAUGCGCUGCUUGACGGUACCUAAUAAGAAAGCCACGGCUAACUACGUG
rnacentral:rRNA from 1 species